GAUGAACGCUGGCGGCGUGCCUAAUACAUGCAAGUCGAGCGAACGGACGAGAAGCUCGCGUCUGUGAUGUUAGCAGCGGACGGGUGAGUAAUACGUGGAUAACCUACCUAUAUGACUGGGAUAACUGCGGGAAACCGGAGCUAAUACCGGAUGAUAUUUUGAACCGCAUGGUUCAGAAGUGAAAGACGGUCUUUCUAUCACUUAUAGAUGGAUCCGCUCUGCAUUAGCUUGAUGGUAAGGUAACGGCCUACCAAGUCAACGAUGCGUUGACGAGCUGAGCGGGUGAUAGGCCACCUGGGAGAGGGAACAGCGUCACGGGUACUACGGGACGGACCAGACGGCAAUCGGAGGCAGUGGGCGAGAGCAUGACGGAGUAGCGCCGAGCGAGAGAUGAAGGUCUCCGGAGCGUAAAGAUCUCUUAUUAGGGGAAAACCUCUGUCUAAGUAGAUGAAGAGAUCUUGACGGUACCUAAUGAGAAAGCAACGGCUAACUACGUG
rnacentral:rRNA from 1 species